GACGAACGCUGGCGGCGUGCUUAACACAUGCAAGUCGAACGAUGAACCCGGAGCUUGCUCCGGCGGAUUAGUGGCGAACGGGUGAGUAACACGUGAGUAACCUGCCCUUGACUCUGGGAUAACUGCGGGAAACUGUAGCUAAUACCGGAUACGACCCUCGGCGGCAUCGCCAGGGGGUGGAAAGAAUUUCGGUCAAGGAUGGACUCGCGGCCUAUCAGAUAGUUGGUGAGGUCACGGCUCACCAAGGCGACGACGGGUAGCCGGCCUGAGAGGGUGACCGGCCACACUGGGACUGAGACACGGCCCAGACUCCUACGGGAGGCAGCAGUGGGGAAUAUUGCACAAUGGGCGCAAGCCUGAUGCAGCAACGCCGCGUGAGGGAUGACGGCCUUCGGGUUGUAAACCUCUUUUAGUAGGGAAGAAGCGAAAGUGACGGUACCUGCAGAAAAAGCACCGGCUAACUACGUGCCAGCCGCCGCCGUAA
rnacentral:rRNA from 1 species